UCUGCGCAAAGAGAGGGGCCGGGCAGCGGCUCGCUUCCCCCGCCUCCACAGUGCGGGAUGUUUUAAUCUCAGAGGUGUCGCCUUCCUGGCGCUCGCCAAGGUCCCCACGCACCCGGAACAGCCCCCAUCUAAUCAGCCGGGAAGAAAUAAGCGCAGCAAGACACUCUAGGAAAGUCGAUUUCCAAGAGAGGAAUCUUCCAUUCUUCCUCCCAGAGGAUGUAAGCUGAUCUACCAUCAUUCUGGCUGCUGGGCAGGGAAAGUGAGUGAGGCGUUCGCCACCCACCUCCAGAUUGCAAGCUCCAGGAAGGCUGAGUUUGUGCUGCAUUUUAUUCACCGUUGUAUCCCCAGCACCCAGUACAGUGCUUGCCAGUUGCAGGUAAUCAGUGAAUGCCCUUUCAACGUAUGUGUUCGAUUGGACUGGUGUUCCAGCAGCCACUUUGGACCAUGAAGUGACCUUGGGAAUGAAAGUCAAUGAUGGUGGAGCAAAAAUACUGAAGCCUGGGUUACUGACAGUACCACAGAGCUCCAUGCCUCCCUUGCACUGCCUGCUUCCCAGAUUUCUUUUAUGCAAGACAAAAAUAAACUUCAGUGU